rnacentral:rRNA from 1 species
GAUGAACGCUGGCGGCGUGCCUAAUACAUGCAAGUCGAGCGAACAGACGAGGAGCUUGCUCCUCCGACGUUAGCGGCGGACGGGUGAGUAACACGUGGAUAACCUACCUAUAAGACUGGGAUAACUUCGGGAAACCGGAGCUAAUACCGGAUAAUAUAUUGAACCGCAUGGUUCAAUAGUGAAAGACGGUUUUGCUGUCACUUAUAGAUGGAUCCGCGCCGCAUUAGCUAGUUGGUAAGGUAACGGCUUACCAAGGCGACGAUGCGUAGCCGACCUGAGAGGGUGAUCGGCCACACUGGAACUGAGACACGGUCCAGACUCCUACGGGAGGCAGCAGUAGGGAAUCUUCCGCAAUGGGCGAAAGCCUGACGGAGCAACGCCGCGUGAGUGAUGAAGGUCUUCGGAUCGUAAAACUCUGUUAUUAGGGAAGAACAAAUGUGUAAGUAACUAUGCACGUCUUGACAGUACCUAAUCAGAAAGCCACGGCUAACUACGUG